CUAAAUAAACUCUUGGCGAUACAUGUCUUCAUACAUGUAUCACGUUCUAUUUCCGCUGCGAACACUCAGUUAUGAUGCAUAUUAUCCUAUUAUGUUGGAUUGUCAAAUCAAGUUAUUGUAUAAACACUUAAAUCGGAUACUCUUGACCGAUUACUCGCUCUUAUCUAUUUAUGUGUGUUUUUUUUUAUAUGAUGUCUCAAUCUUAGUUCAAUUCCUUUAUUAUUAUUUAUCACCCCUUUUCUGUCCCCUCUCCUAAUUUCCCUUCCCUAGUCACGGUUUCCCGGCUUACCUAUCCUUAGUUAAGACCGAUCGU
rnacentral:lncRNA from 1 species